rnacentral:rRNA from 1 species
GACGAACGCUGGCGGCGUGCUUAACACAUGCAAGUCGAACGGAAAGGCCCCUUUGGGGGUACUCGAGUGGCGAACGGGUGAGUAACACGUGAGUAACCUGCCCUUGACUUCGGGAUAACUUCAGGAAACUGGGGCUAAUACCGGAUAGGAAUCCUUGCUGCAUGGUGGGGGUUGGAAAGCUUCGGCGGUUUUGGAUGGACUCGCGGCUUAUCAGCUUGUUGGUGGGGUAGUGGCUUACCAAGGCUUUGACGGGUAGCCGGCCUGAGAGGGCGACCGGCCACAUUGGGACUGAGAUACGGCCCAGACUCCUACGGGAGGCAGCAGUGGGGAAUAUUGCACAAGGGGCGGAAGCCUGAUGCAGCAACGCCGCGUGCGGGAUGACGGCCUUCGGGUUGUAAACCGAUUUCAGCAGGGGCGAAGCUUGUGGUGACGGUACCUGCAGAAGAAGCACCGGCUAACUACGUG